rnacentral:rRNA from 1 species
GAUAAGGUUAAGUGAAUAAGGGCGCACGGUGGAUGCCUUGGCACUAGGAGCCGAUGAAGGACGGGACUAACACCGAUAUGCUUUGGGGAGCUGUACGUAAGCUAUGAUCCAGAGAUUUCCGAAUGGGGGAACCCAACAUCUUUAAUAGGAUGUUACGAUUGUGUGAAUACAUAGCACAUUCGAGGUAGACGCAGAGAACUGAAACAUCUAAGUACCUGCAGGAAGAGAAAGAAAAUUCGAUUCCCUGAGUAGCGGCGAGCGAAACGGGAAAAGCCCAAACCAGCAAGCUUGCUUGUUGGGGUUGUAGGACUCCAAUAUGGUAGUUCUUUCAGAUAGUCGAAUGACUUGGAAAAGUCAGUCAAAGAGGGUAAAAACCCCGUAGACGAAAUGUGGAAGACACCUAGGAGGAUCCUGAGUACGGCGGAACACGAGAAAUUCCGUCGGAAUCCGGGAGGACCAUCUCCCAAGGCUAAAUACUCCCUAGUGACCGAUAGUGAACCAGUACCGUGAGGGAAAGGUGAAAAGCACCCCGGAAGGGGAGUGAAAUAGAACCUGAAACCGUGUGCCUACAACAAGUCAAAGCCCGUUAAUGGGUGAUGGCGUGCCUUUUGUAGAAUGAACCGGCGAGUUACGAUUGCAUGCGAGGUUAAGUUGAAGAGACGGAGCCGCAGCGAAAGCGAGUCUGAAUAGGGCGUUUGAGUAUGUAGUCGUAGACCCGAAACCAUGUGAUCUACCCAUGUCCAGGUUGAAGGUGCGGUAAAACGCACUGGAGGACCGAACCCACGUACGUUGAAAAGUGCGGGGAUGAGGUGUGGGUAGCGGAGAAAUUCCAAACGAACUUGGAGAUAGCUGGUUCUCUCCGAAAUAGCUUUAGGGCUAGCCUCGGAAUU